GAUGAAGAACGCAGCGAAAUGCGAUAAGUAAUGUGAAUUGCAGAAUUCAGUGAAUCAUCGAAUCUUUGAACGCACAUUGCGCCCUCUGGUAUUCCGGGGGGCAUGCCUGUUCGAGCGUCAUUACAACCCUCAAGCUUUGCUUGGUAUUGGACAUUGCCAGUUUCUGGCAGGUCUUAAAAUCAGUGGCGGUGCCAUUUGGCUUCAAGCGUAGUAAUUCUUCUCGCUUUGGAGAUCCAGGUGGUUACUUGUCAAUAACCCCCAAUUUUUUCAGGUUGACCUCGGAUCAGGUAGGGAUACCCGCUGAACUUAAGCAUAUCAAUAAGCGGGGA
rnacentral:misc_RNA from 1 species